UGGGGAAUAUUGGACAAUGGGCGGAAGCCUGAUCCAGCAACGCCGCGUGAGGGAUGACGGCCUUCGGGUUGUAAACCUCUUUCGCCUGUGACGAAGCGCAAGUGACGGUAACAGGUAAAGAAGCACCGGCCGACUACGUGCCAGCAGCCGCGGUAAUACGUAGGGUGCGAGCGUUGUCCGGAAUUAUUGGGCGUAAAGGGCUCGUAGGCGGUUUGUCGCGUCGGGAGUGAAAACCAGGUGCUUAACACCUGGCUUGCUUUCGAUACGGGCAGACUAGAGGUAUUCAGGGGAGAACGGAAUUCCUGGUGUAGCGGUGAAAUGCGCAGAUAUCAGGAGGAACACCGGUGGCGAAGGCGGUUCUCUGGGAAUGACCUGACGCUGAGGAGCGAAAGUGUGGGGAGCGAACAGG
rnacentral:rRNA from 1 species